GGAUAAGGAAAGUAAAAAAGGGCGCAUGGCGGAUGCCUUGGCUCUCGGAGGCGAUGAAGGACGUGAUAAGCUGCGAUAAGCUUUGGGGAGGUGCAAAUGACCUUUGAUCCAGAGAUUUCCGAAUGGGACAACCCAAUAUCUUGAAGAGGUAUUAUCCAACGUUGUUGGAGGCUAACGCAGGGAACUGAAACAUCUUAGUACCUGCAGGAAAAGAAAAUAAACAAUGAUUCCCCCAGUAGUGGCGAGCGAACGGGGAACAGCCCAAACCAUCCAUGUUACGGCAUGGGUGGGGUUGUAGGACUACGCCGUUGCAUGAAGACAUCAGAGAAGAACUUUCUGGAAAGAAAGACCAUAGAGCAUGACAGUUGCGUAUUCGAAUGUUGUCGAAGCAUAGUAGUAUCCUGAGUAGCGCGGAGCACGAGGAAUUCUGCGUGAAUCUGCCGGGACCAUCCGGUAAGGCUAAAUACUCCCGAGAGACCGAUAGCGAACCAGUACCGUGAGGGAAAGGUGAAAAGCACUUCGAACAGAAGAGUGAAAUAGUUCCUGAAACCGUGCGCCUACAAGCGGUCGGAGCUCGUUGAUGAGUGACGGCGUGCCUUUUGCAUAAUGAACCUACGAGUUGCCUUUGCCGGCAAGGUUAAGUGUGACGACACACGUAUCCGAAGCGAAAGCGAGUCUGAAGAGGGCGUAUAGUCGGCAGUGGCAGACGCGAAACCAAGUGAUCUACCCUUGGCCAGGUUGAAGGCUGGGUAACACCAGCUGGAGGACCGCACCAAUAAGCGUUGAAAAGCUUCUGGAUGAGCUGAGGGUAGGGGUGAAAGGCUAAUCAAACUUGGAGAUAGCUCGUACUCCCCGAAAUGCAUUUAGGUGCAGCCUUGCGGGUUACUGAUGUGAGGUAGAGCGACUGAUAAGAUGCGAGGGCUUCACCGCCUAUCAAGUCUUGACAAACUCCGAAUGCGCAUCAGUUCUACCGCAGGAGUGAGGGCAUGGGUGCUAAGGUCCGUGCCCGAGAGGAGAAGAAUCCGGACCACCUGCUAAGGUCCCGAAAUGACAGCUAAGUUAAACUAACGAAGUCUGACUGCUAAGACAGCUAGGAUGUUGGCUUGGAAGCAGCCAUUCAUUUAAAGAGUGCGUAACAGCUCACUAGUCGAGGAGUCGGGCGUGGAUAAUAAUCGGGUAUGAAGUUGUCUACCGAAGCAGUGGGAUCAUUUAUAUGAUCGGUAGGGGAGCAUUCCAGUCGGCGUCGAAGGCGUACCGUGAGGUAUUCUGGAGCGUCUGGAAAAGCAAAUGUAGGUAUAAGUAACGAUAAAGGGGGCGGGAAACCCCCUCGCCGAAAGACUAAGGUUUCCUGAUCAACGCUAAUCGGAUCAGGGUCAGUCGGGUCCUAAGGCUCAGCCGAACGGCGAUGCCGAUGGCAGAAACGGUUAAUAUUCCGUUACUACCUUCAGGAGUGACGUGGAGACGCAGUAGUGACAGUGCCGCCAUCUGACGGAAUAGAUGGUUGAAGGGUGUAGGAGUCGAUCAUGGCAGGCAAAUCCACCAUGAGAUCCGAACCUGAUAGUAUGCCGCGUCCUUCGGGACAAGGCAAUAGUGCGCGUAAGCAUGCUGCCGAGAAAAUCCGCUAAACUUAAUCCUGCAGGUACCCGUACCGCAAACGGACACACGUAGUCGGGAUGAAUAUUCUAAGGCGCUUGAGUGAUUCACGGUUAAGGAACUAGGCAAACUGACCCUGUAACUUCGGGAUAAAGGGUCCCUACCCUUUUAUGGGAGGGCGCAGAGAAUCGGUCCAGGCAACUGUUUAACAAAAACACAGGGCUGUGCCAAAUCGAAAGAUCCAGUAUACAGCCUGACACCUGCCCGGUGCUGGAAGGUUAAGAGGAGAUGUCAUCGAUAAGAGAAGCGUUGAAUUGAAGCCCCAGUAAACGGCGGCCGUAACUAUAACGGUCCUAAGGUAGCGAAAUUCCUUGUCGGGUAAGUUC
rnacentral:rRNA from 1 species